rnacentral:rRNA from 1 species
UUUAACGAGAGUUUGAUCCUGGCUCAGGAUGAACGCUGGCGGCGUGCUUAACACAUGCAAGUCGAGCGAAGCACCUUGACGGAUUUCUUCGGAUUGAAGCCUUGGUGACUGAGCGGCGGACGGGUGAGUAACGCGUGGGUAACCUGCCUCAUACAGGGGGAUAACAGUUGGAAACGGCUGCUAAUACCGCAUAAGCGCACAGUACCGCAUGGUACGGUGUGAAAAACUCCGGUGGUAUGAGAUGGACCCGCGUCUGAUUAGGUAGUUGGUGGGGUAACGGCCUACCAAGCCGACGAUCAGUAGCCGACCUGAGAGGGUGACCGGCCACAUUGGGACUGAGACACGGCCCAAACUCCUACGGGAGGCAGCAGUGGGGAAUAUUGCACAAUGGGGGAAACCCUGAUGCAG